AGAUAUGGCUAUACCACCCUGAACAUAUCCAAUAUCUUCUGAUCUCAGAAGCUAAACAAGGUCAGCCUUAGCUAGUAUUUGGAUGAGAGAUGGCCUGGAAAUACAGAGUGCUGUAGACA
rnacentral:rRNA from 1 species